rnacentral:rRNA from 1 species
UACGUAGGGACCGAGCGUUGUCCGGAUUCAUUGGGCGUAAAGAGCUCGUAGGCGGCCACUCAAGUCGAAUGUGAAACCUCGAGGCUUAACCUCGAGCCUGCAUUCGAUACUGGGCGGCUAGAGUCUGGUAGGGGGAUCUGGAAUUCCUGGUGUAGCGGUGGAAUGCGCAGAUAUCAGGAGGAACACCGGUGGCGAAGGCGGGAUCCUGGGCCGUACUGACGCUGAGGAGCGAAAGCGUGGGGAGCAAACAGGG